rnacentral:tRNA from 1 species
ACCAAAAUGGGAGAACGUUAGACUAUGGAUCGAAAAGUCCCUGGUUCGAUCCCGGGUUUCGGCA